AUCUGAAUUGAUUUUCUCAAUUUGUCUUAUGUCACACUUAAAUACCAAGUAAAAUUAAUCUAAUGUGGUCUCUUUUUGUUUCUGGAACUUAGCACUCUCUUCUUAGUUACUAAUCUUGUACACAUCUGAACUCUAUUUAAGCUCAUCUUAACAGAGCAGUCUAAAAUCCAAUCAAAUGAGGAGAGUUGUGGCAGAUCACAUUUCUAUGAAAUGAAUUUUUAUGUAUAUAUG